AUGAAAGCCCUGAUUAUUUUUAAACAUGCAAAUGAAUACAUGACUGAUUUCUUCAAAUUUCCUAUUUCUACCCUCUUAUUUCAAAAUACAGCCCAGGAGAGCUGGCUUGAGCAAUGGCUUUCUCUAUCAUUCGAAGGAUUCCAGAGCAGUUUCAUGCUGCUCACUGGUGGAAAGGACAUUCCUUCAUCUCAGAUGAUACUUCGGACUGUGGGUUUUGAGUUGAUGCUGAAAUAAGUUAAGACUGAGGGACUGGUGAGAAGGAAUAAUUGUAUUUUGUAAGGUGAGAAGGACUUGAUCUUCGAGAGCAGCCACAGGUGGAACUAUAUGGUAUGAGUUUGUAUCCCCUUCCAAAGCUCAUGUCAAAUUGGCCCGGUAAGAGGUGGUUGGAUCAUGAGAGCAUAUUUUUCUGUUGUUGUUCCCAUGAUAUUGAGUGAGUUCUCAUGAGAUCUGACGAUCUAAAAGUGUGUGGCACUUCCUCCUUUGUUCUCUCUCUCCUGCCACCAUGGGCAGGAGGUGCUUGCUUCCCCUUAACCUUCUGCUGUAAUUGUGAGGUUCCUCACAGUCAUGCUUUCUGUUAAGCCAGUGGAACUGUGAGUUAAUUAAACUUCUUGUUUUCAUCAAUUAUCCAGUCUCAGGAAAUUCUUUAUAGCCAUGUGAGAACAAACUAAGACAUAGAAUUUGCCAUCAAAGGCUGCCAAAUAUACCCUUAUAGAAUGCUAGUUAGUUAUUAAAAAUUGCAUUUACUCAUUAAUUCACCAUAUAUUUAAUGAGUACCUGCCUGCUUCAUAGAAUACGAUCUAGGGCACGAGUGAACAACAGGAAAAAGUCUUUGUUUUCAUAUAUCAACUAUUCUAACAAGAAGAGAAAGAAAACAUGAAAUACAGUAGGUAGUAAUAAGUGACAUGAAGGUAAGUAAAACAGGAGAAGGAGGUUAGAGGAAAGAAGAAAAGAAAAACAAGGCCUUGCUGGUGAGGAAAUGUUUGAGCACAGAGACCUCAGGACUUCUCUGAGAGAACGUCUGCCUUCAAGUUGCCUGACAGACCUGUUAGAGGAGGCAAUGAGCUACCUGUAACUCAUUAGAAUAGUAAGGCCAUACACAAUAAUUCAUACCAUGCUGGAGACCUCCAAAAAGAAGUUAGAGGAAACUAGAUGGGUAGAAAUGUUUGGUUACUCUUCUCUUCUCCUGUCAAUAAUAAAAUGCCACAGUCAUGACCACUGUUAAUCAUUCUAUAUACAUUUGAUUCACUGAACCUUCCCUGGAGCUCUCCCUGUGUGGUAGGUACUAUUAUGAUCACAAUUCUGCUGAGGAGAAAAAAGAGGUUUUAAAACCUUAAGUAACUGCCUUAAAGCCAAAAGAAACCUAAAUAUUGAAUUAAGACUAUCUCAGUACAGAGGCUCAGGCCUACCCAUCAUCUUAUGCUUUGUAAGGCCCUUUAUAUUUAGAAAAUUGCUUAAUACAAUCCUGUUGCAAUUUCAAAAGUGAAAAAAUAAAAUGAGCGAGAAAGCAAGAAAUGUUAUCAGUUUUAUUCUGAGAUUUCAGAUAAGGCCUAGGGAAAAAGAAAGCAAAAUAAGUUUAAACAUUAUUGAUUCAAUAAAAUAAACAUUAACUGCUCACUUCAAUCAUUAUGGGUACAAUUUAAAAUUAUUCUGUUGAGUCUUCAAAUCCUAGUUACCUUUUGCAUUCAUUUUCAUUUCAGGAUUUUACCUUAGCGGUAAUGUUAAAGUGAAAAAAAAU
rnacentral:lncRNA from 1 species